AGUUGGGCUAACCCCUGGGACCACACAGAGUUGGUACAAUUUCAGCUGAAUGUCAAACUGCCUUAGACCAUCUGGCACUCCUCAUUCAGCUUAUACACUGACUUUCUCAUCAGCUUCUCAAAGUGCUAAAAACAGUUUCAUGCCAUAUUUACUUUUAUUCAUCAACCUAAAAGCAUCUUGGGCCUAGCCUAACUAACCUCCGAGACAGCCAGCAACCUUGGAACAGAUGAAGGCGGUGUACGACAGCCCUGACCACACACCAUGGGGUUAUGUGCCCCGUAAGAGAAGGUUGGUCUAGCCAUCAGCCCUGGGAGAAGACAGAGGCUGGAGCCAGGGCUGAGGGCAGACCCAGGCUUCCGUACUGCUAUCUUGUUCGACAUCAGUUUGGUGCCUUGGAUGCCUACGGCUGCUGAAUUUCACUUUCCAGCUGGCUUUCUGGUCAGGUCACUGAGAAAGGCCAGGUGGUGGGACUCUGGGACUGUCAUCUGAGCCCAUGCCCCGCAGCCAAGGCUGAGCCCAAGACAACAGGAUAUAGAGAACAAAAGUCAGUGACUGCUCAGAAGACCCAAGUGCAGCAAGGAGCAUUCCUUUCGUUCCAGCAGAGAUCAGGAGCACAUCAGUCCUGCAGACAGGACAUGAGGUGAAGUUCUAAGAGAAAGCUCCUGGAAGCAGCUCAGGGGCAGAAGUGGUGGAAAAGUCUUCUGAUAAUGCUGAUACCCAGGACAACUACCUCAAAGCCUAGUCAUCCAUGAGUCUGGGAAGCACGUUGUGCCAAGAAGACUUCUACCAGCUACAAGAUGAAGAGUUUUUAGAGUCAUGAAACCAUAUCUCCAGGCUUCCUUUGAAGAUCAGGCCAAUUUGGCUGGACUUGUAUCUUUCACCAACGAGAGAGUCCUCCUGACUGAUCCAACUUACACCUUUUGCACAUGAAGAUACUAACGCCCAGAGAGAGGGUAGAGAAGAAACAGUAGAAAGAAGAUUCCUAAAACUCAGCCAAAGGAAGCCAGCCCACACUCAGGAACAGACCUGCUUUACAUGAUGGUGGAGGGCUUCAGUGUCAUCUGAGAGCCAAAUCAAUCUGUUCCGCCUUUUACACUGUCUGAAAUUCAACCAAUAGAUUAUCUUUCUCCUAAGUUAAA